rnacentral:rRNA from 1 species
GGAGGCUAUGCUAUCGGAUGCGACUAAGCCAUGCGAGUCCAGGCUCUUCUCCCAAAAGGAGGAGAACCGGCGUACCGCUCAGUAAGAUGUAAAUAACUUACCCUUAAGUGGGAAAUAACCUCGGGAAACUGAGGAUAAUGUCCCAUAGUCCUAGAACGCUGGAACGCCUCUAGGACGAAAGCUACGGCGCUUAAGGAUAGGUUUACACCCUAUUAGGUUGUAGUGGUGUGUAACGGACCCACUAGCCUAUGAUGGGUACGGGCAUUGAGAGAUGGAGCCCGGAGAUGUACUCUGAGACAUGAGUACAGGUCCUACGGGACGCAGCAGGCGCGAAAAUUCCACAAUGUGCUAACGCACGAUGGAGGCAUUUCGAGUACCGGCAGUUCGCUGUCGGUUGUUCCCAUACUUCAUCAGUAUGGGGAGUAAGGGCUGGGUAAGACGGGUGCCAGCCGCCGCGGUAAUACCCGCAGCCCGAGUGGUAGCCACUAUUAUUGAGCCUAAAACGUUCGUAGCCGACCUUAUAAAUCUCAGGAUAAAUUACACUGCUUAACAGUGUAGCUUCCUGAGACACUGUAAGGUUAGGGACUGGGAGGCACCGAAGGAACUCUUGAGGUAGGGGUGAAAUCCUAUCAUCUCAAGAUGACCACCAUUGGCGAAGGCGUUCGGUGAGAACAGAUCCGACGGUGAGGAACGAAGCCCUGGGGAGCAAAUGGGAUUAGAUACCCCAGUAGUCCAGGGUGUAAACGCUGCAGACCCUAUGUAGGGUACUCUCAGAGAGUACUCUGUGUAGAAGAGAAGUCGUUGAGUCUGCUGCUUGGGGAGUACGUUCGCAAGAAUGAAACUUAAAGGAAUUGGCGGGGGGAGUACCGCAACGGGAGGAACGUGCGG